AGCCACGCAGUGAGCACAAAGCGAACUAUUCUUUCGCCUUUUACUAAAGAAUACCGUGUGCUCGCUGCUCAAAAUGGCAUACAUCAAUUUUUGAGGGGAUGAUUUCAGUAGAAUCC